AGGCAUGCUGCAGAACCAAAACUGCGAAAGUGACAAAGUACUUCAUAGAAACGCUUGGUACCAUCUCGUGUGGCGAAAGCCUGCAAAGUACAUAGGGUAAAAAAAUUUGGUAAAAGGCUGUUGGGAAUGGUACUCCUAACAGUUCUU
rnacentral:sRNA from 1 species